rfam:Bordetella bronchiseptica strain RB50, complete genome; segment 9/16
ACGUGCAGUUCGGGAGAGACCGUCCAGCGGACGGCGCCGACGGAGCAACCACCCCGGAAACUCUCAGGCAAAAGGACCGACCUGC